rnacentral:rRNA from 1 species
GACAGAGGUGCCGAGCGUUAUGCGGAAUCACUGGGCUUAAAGCGUGUGUAGGCGGACGGGUAAGUACCUUGUGAAAUCCCACGGCUCAACCGUGGAACUGCUGGGUAUACUGCCUGUCUUGAGUCAUCUAGGGGCGAGCGGAACAAAUGGUGGAGCGGUGAAAUGCGUAGAUAUCAUUUGGAACGCCAAUGGUGAAAACAGCUCGCUGGGGAUGUACUGACGCUGAGACACGAAAGCCAGGGGAGCAAACGGG